UACUGGCAGGAUCAACCAGGUAGCAUUCCUUCGCGACGCCGACGCCCGCAUGAGGCCCGACGAGCCGUACGGCCCUUGGACGCUCAAGACGGGCAUGGCAGUCGUUCGUGUCGAUGGACAAAAUGCAUUGCUUGGGCAAACGAAGGCCAGGAGACCCCCCACCCGCGCAUAACAUUCUGCAUCCGAGAGCACGGGCAGAACACCUCAUGGGCCAAGGCAACCACGCAACUGGGCGAGGCAUGCCAGGAACACGAGGCUCGCCUUGCGUCCACCCCACCACCCGUGAGG
rnacentral:misc_RNA from 1 species